ACAAACUUGGUCAUUUAGAGGAAGUAAAAGUCGUAACAAGGUCUCCGUUGGUGAACCAGCGGAGGGAUCAUUACAGAGUUGUAAAACUCCCACAAACCAUCGCGAAUCUUACCCGUACGGUUGCCUCGGCGCUGGCGGUCCGGAAGGCCCCUCGGGGCCCCCGGACCCUCGGGUCUCCCGCUCGCGGGAGGCUGCCCGCCGGAGUGCCGAAACCAAACUCUUGAUAUUUUUAUGUCUCUCUGAGUAAACUUUUAAAUAAGUCAAAACUUUCAACAACGGAUCUCUUGGUUCUGGCAUCGAUGAAGAACGCAGC
rnacentral:misc_RNA from 1 species